rnacentral:rRNA from 1 species
CCUACGGGUGGCAGCAGUAGGUAAUCUUCCACAAUGGGCGAAAGCCUGAUGGAGCAACGCCGCGUGGGUGAAGAAGGUUUUCGGAUUGUAAAACCCUGUUGUUAGAGAAGAAAGUGCGUGAGAGUAACUGAUCACGUUUCGACGGUACCUAACCAGAAAGCGCCGGCAAACUACGUGCGAGCAGCCGCGGUAAUAUGGCGGUGGCAAGCGUUAUCGGGAUUUAUUGGGCGUAAAGGGAACGAAGGCGGUCUUUUAAGUCUGAUGUGAAAGCCGUGGGCUUAACCGGAGUAGGGCGUUGGAAACUGGGAGACUUGAGUAAGGGAGAGGGAAGUGGAACUCCAGGUGUAGCGGUGAAAUGCGUAGAUAUAGAGAAGAACACUAGUGGCGAAGGCGGCUCUCUGGACUGUAACUGACGCUGAGGUUCGAAGGCGUGGGUAGCAAACAGGAUUAGAUACCCUUGUAGUC